AGAAUUUUUAAAAAAAAAAUAUUAAUAGAUUUAAUGGGGGUUAAAGUAUAUUAAUAGAAAAAAUUUAAAAAUUUAUAGUGAAUUAGUAUUGUAAAAGAAUUUUGAAAUAGAUGAAAAUGAAAUUAUUAUAAAGUAAUUUUAAUUUAGUGUAUCUUGUGUAUCAGAGUUUAUUAAUAAAUAUUCUUUUAUUAAAGAAAUUCUCGAAUUUAAGAGAGAUAAUUAAUUAUAAAAGUUAUUGUAACAUAAAUAUUUUAAAUAAUUAAUUGGAAAUGAAAUGUUAGAUCGUUCUUAAAUAUAUCUAGUUUUUUUAGAAAAAAAUUUAAUUUUAAAUUUAUUAUUUUAUAAAUUAAUUAAUUAAUUUAUAAAAUAAAUUUAUAAAUUUUAUAUUUUAAGGGAUAAGCUUUAAUUUAAAUUAAUAUAAUUUAUUAAAAUUUAUAUUUGAAAAUUAUAUAAUUUAUAUUGUUAAUAAAAUUUAAUUUAUUAUAAAUAAUUUCAUGAAAAAUAAAAUUUAAUUAAAAAUUUAUUUUUAUAUAAAAAAAAAUAUUGUAAUUUUUUAAAUAUUGAUAUAAUGAUAAAAUUAGUAUAUAAAUAAAUUUAAUUAAGUAAAUUUUUAAUUAAAUUAUUUAAAAGGAAUUCGGCAAAAAUUUAUAUUCACUUGUUUAACAAAAACAUGUCUUUUUGAAAAUAAUAUAAAGUCUAAUCUGCCCACUGAUUUUUAAUUAAAGGGCUGCAGUAUUUUGACUGUACAAAGGUAGCAUAAUCAUUAGUCAUUUAAUUGAUGACUUGUAUGAAAGAUUGGAUGAAAUAUAAACUGUCUCUUAAGUAAAUUAUAGAAUUUAAUUUUUUAAUUAAAAAGUUAAAAUAAAUUAAAAAGACGAGAAGACCCUAUAGAGUUUUAUAUUUUUGUUAAUUGAUAUUAUUUAUAAAUUGAUAAAUUAAAAUUAAUAUAAAUAUUUUGUUGGGGUGAUAGAAAAAUAAAAAAAACUUUUUUUUUAGAAAAACAUAGAUAAGUGAAUAUAUGAUCCAGUAUUAUUGAUUAUAAGAAAAAAUUACCUUAGGGAUAACAGCGUAAUUUUUUUUUUUAGUUCAAAUAAAAAAAAGAGUUUGCGACCUCGAUGUUGGAUUAAGAUAAAAUUUAAAUGCAGAAGUUUAAAAUUUUGAUCUGUUCGAUCAUUAAAAUCUUACAUGAUCUGAGUUCAAACCGGUGUGAGCCAGGUUGGUUUCUAUCUUUUAAAAAAUAAAAUAUUUUAGUACGAAAGGAUUAAAUAUUUAAAUUAAAUUUAUAUGAAUGAAUUUUAUUAAAUU
rnacentral:rRNA from 1 species